UACGUAGGGUGCGAGCGUUGUCCGGAAUUACUGGGCGUAAAGAGCUCGUAGGUGGUUUGUCGCGUUGUCCGUGAAAACUCACAACUCAAUUGUGGGCGUGCGGGCGAUACGGGCAGACUGGAGUACUGCAGGGGAGACUGGAAUUCCUGGUGUAGCGGUGGAAUGCGCAGAUAUCAGGAGGAACACCGGUGGCGAAGGCGGGUUGCUGGGCUGACACUGACGCUGAAGCGCGAAAGCUAGGGGAGCGAACGGG
rnacentral:rRNA from 1 species